GAACCUUCGGGGGACGAUAACGGCGUCGAGCGGCGGACGGGUGAGUAAUGCCUAGGAAAUUGCCCUGAUGUGGGGGAUAACCAUUGGAAACGAUGGCUAAUACCGCAUGAUGCCUACGGGCCAAAGAGGGGGACCUUCGGGCCUCUCGCGUCAGGAUAUGCCUAGGUGGGAUUAGCUAGUUGGUGAGGUAAGGGCUCACCAAGGCGACGAUCCCUAGCUGGUCUGAGAGGAUGAUCAGCCACACUGGAACUGAGACACGGUCCAGACUCCUACGGGAGGCAGCAGUGGGGAAUAUUGCACAAUGGGCGCAAGCCUGAUGCAGCCAUGCCGCGUGUAUGAAGAAGGCCUUCGGGUUGUAAAGUACUUUCAGUCGUGAGGAAGGUGGUAGCGUUAAUAGCGCUAUCAUUUGACGUUAGCGACAGAAGAAGCACCGGCUAACUCCGUGCCAGCAGCCGCGGUAAUACGGAGGGUGCGAGCGUUAAUCGGAAUUACUGGGCGUAAAGCGCAUGCAGGUGGUUUGUUAAGUCAGAUGUGAAAGCCCGGGGCUCAACCUCGGAAUAGCAUUUGAAACUGGCAGACUAGAGUACUGUAG
rnacentral:rRNA from 1 species